rnacentral:rRNA from 1 species
GGAUGGUCAGCCACACUGGGACUGAGACACUGCCCAGACUCCUACGGGAGGCCGCAGUCGAGGAUCAUUGUCAAUGCGCGAAAGCGUGAACAUGCGACGCUGCGUGGAGGAUGAAGGCCUUCGGGUCGUAAACUCCUGUCAUUCGGGAAAAAUUGCGGUUGGGUGAAUAGCCUGGCCGUUUGAUGGUACCGAAAGAGGAAGCCACGGCUAACUCUGUGCCAGCAGCCGCGGUAAUACAGAGGUGGCGAGCGUUGUUCGGAUUUACUGGGCGUAAAGGGUGCGUAGGUGGCAUCGUGUGUCGGAUGUGAAAGCCCACGGCUCAACCGUGGGACUGCAUUCGAAACUGCGGAGCUAGAGUACAGGAGGGGAGAGCGGAACUCUUGGUGUAGCGGUGAAAUGCGUUGAUAUCAAGAAGAACACCGGUGGCGAAGGCGGCUCUCUGGAAUGUUACUGACACUGAGGCACGAAAGCUGGGGGAGCAAACAGGAUUAGAUACCCUGGUAGUCCCAGCUGUAAACGGUGUGCACUUGGUGUGGGCGGUAUUGACCCCGCCCGUGCCGGAGCUAACGCGUUAAGUGCACCGCCUGGGGAGUACGGCCGCAAGGUUAAAACUCAAAGAAAUUGACGGGGGCCCGCACAAGCGGAGGAGCAUGUGGCUUAAUUCGAUGCAACGCGAAGAACCUUACCAGGGCUUGACAUGCAGCUGCAAGCCCCCCGAAAGGGGGGAAUCCUUCGAGGGUGCUGCACAGGUGCUGCAUGGCUGUCGUCAGUUCGUGCCGUGAGGUGUUGGGUUAAGUCCCGCAACGAACGCAACCCCUGUGUUUAGUUGCCACCGCAGGUGAUGAGCCUGCGAGCACUCUAGACAGACUGCCCGUACAAGCGGGAGGAAGGUGGGGACGACGUCAAGUCAGUAUGGCCCUUACGCCCUGGGCUGCACACGUGCUACAAUGGUCGGUACGGAGGGAGGCAAUACCGCGAGGUGGAGCAAAUCCCGAACGCCGGCCUCAGUUCGGAUUGGAGUCUGCAACUCGACUCCAUGAAGUUGGAUUCGCUAGUAACGGCGCAUCAGCUACGGCGCCGUGAAUACGUUCCCGGGCCUUGUACACACCGCCCGUCACAUCAUGAAAGCCGUCUGCACCCGAAGUCGCUGAGCUAACCCGCAAGGGAAGCAGGUGCCGAAGGUGUGGGUGGUGAUUGGGAUGAA